GGUUUUUGUUUGCUUGUUUGUUUUAAAUCUAAAGAGAGAUGAUUACUGGUCUGCACACAAAUGGGCUAAGCUAAGAGAAUACAAAGCAGUUUUCUACCCCAAAGCAUCACUCUGGAAGAAAACUCAAGUGGAAAGCAUGCCUGAGGCAACCCAGCAAGACACAGUCCCUCUCAAAGAGACAAGGACGCCACUAUCACAGCAUCUCAAUUCAAUGUGAGUGAAGAUUCCUGAGUCCUGCCGAGUCCAGAAAUCAUCAGGAAUCAAGAUCAGGAAACUGCUGCUUUGCAGAAGAUGCCAUCACACUCCCACUCUGACCCUCCUGUGUCUCACUGAGGGCUAAAACAGAGUAAUACAGAUGCGAGCAGGUCAAAGGACAAAGUCGUGGAUCACUUCUCAGUUGUACUGUUAAAUGUCACCCAGAAAUGUUCAGUGUUUCUAGGCACCAAAGUGCUUUGGAGACCCCCAGUACCCAGCUUUACACAUCCUUUCAGCACCAAAGCACUUUCAGAAAGCUGGUCUCUGGGUAUCUAACACUUAUUACACACAACAGGACUUUUGGUGUCUUGUGAGAAGUUCAGACUUUUUUCUUUUUUAAGAUAUUUUUCUCCUCUAUUUUUAGAAUUACCAUUGUACUGCUACAGUUAAACAUCUGCUACCUUUACAUAAUUUUCUAGAUCAAAUAGUUGCUGGAACUGCACAGGCCUAUAAAAGCUUCACAGCAACCUUGCACUACUUAAAAUAUAUAUUUGGAAGCAUGUAGGCAUUUCUAUUAAUUGUCAUUAUUGUAGACACUUAUCUCUAUGAAGAAAAGCAUGCUGUCCUUCCUUAAUGGCUGAUGUUAUAAUAUUACUUUUAUUCGAUAUUAAACUGAUGCUACUUUUAAAAAGAACAGUUCAAUAAAUUCAAUGGAAUUUACGAAAAACUAAAAAUUAAAUAACAUGAUGCAGUUACUUCAUUUAAGAAAUACAACAAUUCAAAAAUUCAAGGUUUGGGGAUAUGUCUAAGGACUUACUCUGCAAAAUGGCAAAAAUACAUAUUCAGAAGCACAAAACCAAAAUUAGUCAGAGAUGUCACUUGGGAUUUCAUAUUUGUCUUUGCUCUCCAGCUGUAGCG